ACGAACUCUGGUAUUGAUUGGUGCUUGCAUCAUGAUUUACAUUUGAGUGAGUGGCGAACUGGUGAGUAACACGUGGGAAACCUGCCCAGAAGCGGGGGAUAACACCUGGAAACAGAUGCUAAUACCGCAUAACAACUUGGACCGCAUGGUCCGAGUUUGAAAGAUGGCUUCGGCUAUCACUUUUGGAUGGUCCCGCGGCGUAUUAGCUAGAUGGUGGGGUAACGGCUCACCAUGGCAAUGAUACGUAGCCGACCUGAGAGGGUAAUCGGCCACAUUGGGACUGAGACACGGCCCAAACUCCUACGGGAGGCAGCAGUAGGGAAUCUUCCACAAUGGACGAAAGUCUGAUGGAGCAACGCCGCGUGAGUGAAGAAGGGUUUCGGCUCGUAAAACUCUGUUGUUAAAGAAGAACAUAUCUGAGAGUAACUGUUCAGGUAUUGACGGUAUUUAACCAGAAAGCCACGGCUAACUACGUGCCAGCAGCCGCGGUAAUACGUAGGUGGCAAGCGUUGUCCGGAUUUAUUGGGCGUAAAGCGAGCGCAGGCGGUUUUUUAAGUCUGAUGUGAAAGCCUUCGGCUCAACCGAAGAAGUGCAUCGGAAACUGGGAAACUUGAGUGCAGAAGAGGACAGUGGAACUCCAUGUGUAGCGGUGAAAUGCGUAGAUAUAUGGAAGAACACCAGUGGCGAAGGCGGCUGUCUGGUCUGUAACUGACGCUGAGCUCGAAAGUAUGGGUAGCAAACAGGAUUAGAUACCCUGGUAGUCCAUACCGUAAACGAUGAAUGCUAAGUGUUGGAGG
rnacentral:rRNA from 1 species